AAAAUAAUGGUACGUCUUUCAGAAAAGACAAGCAAUUUGGGGAGCGCCGUUGGAAGGAUGUGCAAGUGGGUGAUUUCGUGAAGGUGCUUUCCAACGAAAUCGUCCCUGCAGACCUCCUGCUAUUGCACACAUCAGACCGCAAAGGGAUGUGCCACAUAGAGACGUCCAACCUGGAUGGCGAGACCAACCUCAAAGAGAGAAAGGUGGUUCCCGGCAUCUGCGCCACGGAGCCCAACUUUGAACCUGAAAGUUUCAACAGUGUUGUGGUGUGUGAAAGGCCCAACAACAAUUUGAAUCACUUCAAGUGUUAUGUGUGAGUAUCAAAUACAG